ACCUAAGUAUACGUCGUAUUAAGACGAAACAGUGAAUAACUUAUUAGAUCACUACAGUUGCUACUCUAGAAUUGCCACAGUUACUUACUUGGAUAACUGCGGCAAUUCUAAAGCUAAUACAUGCGACAGAGCUCCGGCCAUCCGGAGACAAGCGCUUUUAUUAGAACAACACCAAUCGGACCUUUUGUCCGUAUUAUGUUGUGAUUCUGUAUAAUUUGGGGCUGAUAGUACAGAAUCAUUCCGGCGACAUCCUAAAAUGGUUAUUACAAAUAUACAGAUAG
rnacentral:ncRNA from 1 species